AUGUCAUUUCAGUCUGCUACUCCUCUGCCAUCUUGCCUCUCCAUCUCCCACAGAAAUUGCCAUCUGUCAAAGAAAGCCUGCUGGGAUCAAUGUAACACCACUCCCCACGGGCAGCUUGCUUCCAGUGACAACCGUAGCAAUCAAUGCUGAGAUCCAAAGUCUAGUGCCCUUGCGUCCAGGCCCGAGGUAAGGACCAUCCCAGUUCCAGAACUCCCAAGACCUUUGUUGCAACUCCAUUUCAAUUCAGAAGUUCUCCUUCUCCAAACUCUAUUUCCUUUUAUCCUUUACUAUUUUUUAUCCCCAAAGAAUUCCCUAGUAAAUUUUCUGCAUGCAAAUUUCCACCUCAGUAUCAGUUCCCAAGGAACUGAACUCAGGCCACAUGGGCCAGUAUAAAAGAAAUAGAGGUGUUGAAGAGUG
rnacentral:lncRNA from 1 species